CCAAACCAAUGUGCUUGCUUUGUGUGUGUGCUUCGUAAAGACUUAAAAACCAAAAUAUAUAACUUAAAAAAAAUAAACCCAGCCCAACCCAAUCCAACUUUGUUUUGGAAUUUGGAAUAUACCCUUUACUUUUUCCAGUUGUCCAAAGAAAAUUCAACGCAUGUCUAAUUUAAUUGGGCAGUGAAAGAAGGAAUCAACGAAUUCCCCCACAAUCCCAGAAAACUUUUUCUCGGAAAAUUUUGAUACUUUUCCCGGAAGGUUAGAUUGGUUUUGCCAUGUUUGGUUCUGUUUUGUUUUAUUUUUAUUCUUAAGACUUAUUGACGACCUUUGGAUUGAAUUAGUUGAUCCAAAGGCCAAAAGUGGAUUCGCAAGCAAUUCGCAUCGUACCGUAGAAAAUUCGUGUGAUUUAAUUGUUUUGUAAAAUAAAAAUACGCCACAAAAAAGAAGUAAAGACAACCCCCAGACCAGAGCUCCAGAGCAACAUCUUCCUCCAGCCUCCUCCGUGCAUCCUCUUCGCUCGUUCUCUCAGCAGUUUGUGAACGAGGUAAAGUGUAAGAACUUUGGAUUGAACAUUGCUCGGCAGGAUUUGAAAGAGGGAAGAAUAUGGAGUUUUUCAGCCAGUGUUUAGGGUUCUUAUAGAAUAUACCCAUCACUUCUCCGAUUGUCCAACAAAUUCAACGGAUAUCUAAUUAGUUGGGCAGUGAAGAAAAGAAUCAAGGAAUUCCCCGCAACCCCAGAAAUCCAAUUCAGUUUUCUCUGAUAUUUGCUUUGAAAACUUGAUAUUUUUCUGAGUCUUUCUGCCUGGGAAUUCCUUUUUGGAGCUUGGACUGGUGAAUCUGCAACUCUGAGACAGAUCUGUGCCUUUCUAUACUUUGUUGAGGAGGCUUGGGCUUUUAUAACUGCAUUCAUGAUCCGGUGAUGCAAUCUCAGAAUCUGAGAACAAUCCAUCAUCGGAACGACAGCGUUUGUAUUUGACUGCAAGGUGGACGCCAUGGACCAUGACGACUUGCGGACCAUCUUAGAAACCUCGGGAGUGGAUGUGUGGACGUUCAUUGACACCGCCAUUGUGGUAGCUUCGGUUGAUUAUGGCACCGAGCUCAAGCACCGGAGGGAUGGCAUUGUCGAGCGCCUCUACGCCACAACUUGCAUGCCACCUCGGUGCCCGAACUGUGAUACUGAUGGGCCCAAUGGGAACCAACCCAAAGGAGUUUCACCGUACACGCCGCAGUUCGUUGAUAGAGAUGACGAUGAGGAGGAGGACAAGGAGGGGUUGGAUCCAUACGGAGGGUUGUUCGAUGAUGAGCAGAAGAACAUUCUAGAAAUCAAGAAGCAGCUUGAGGAUCCACAUCAGUCUGAGGAUUCUUUGGUUGAGUUGCUUCAAAGUCUAGCAGAUAUGGAAAUAUCAUUCCAAGAACUCAAGGAGGCCGAUAUUGGAAGGCAUGUGAGUCAAUUGCGGAAGCAGCAUCCAAGUGAUGUUGUUAGGAGAUUGGCAAAGCAAGUUGUCAGGAAAUGGAAAGGUAUUGUGGAUGAAUGGGUGAAGUUACAUGGAGAACUGCCGUCUUCUUCGGCCAUGGUUGAUGAAGAUUCGCCCCAGCAGAAAAUUCCCCAAAAUGGUCUUCACCAGGUUCCUGAUUUUGCGUACUCUCCAAAUCCUCACAAUGGGAGUUCUGGAUCAGAUAAGAACAAUUCAGAACCAGAACGCAAGCCAAAGGCAGUUCCUAGGAGAGAAGCUCCACCAAAACCAGCACAAUCAACCCCUAUGUCUGCUUCUGCUGCUCAAAAUAGACAGAGAGAACAGAAGGAAAGCAAUUUUGACAAUGAUAGAUUGGCUUCUGCAAGAAAACGACUUCAGGCGAAUUACAAAGAAGCUGAAAAUGCCAAAAAGCAGAGAACAAUUCAAGUAAUGGACAUCCAUGACAUACCAAAACCAAAGAAUUCUUUCAUUGCAAAGAACAAAGGUGGAGGAGGAAGUGGUUCUCAUCAAGGCAGGCAUUGGUGAUUGCCCAAAAAUGGGCAGGGCCUCACAGAAUCACAGAACCACAUGUAUAAUACAAAAGGCUUAUGAGAUUAUGGGGUGUCACCUUUAUAAUACAAUUUUUUUCUUUUAUUAAGCAAAACAGACAACGGUGCCAAUCAGUGCUCGUUUUGUAAGAGCGUUUCGAGGGUCAAAAGGUUUGAGAGAUGUGCCAUGGGGCCAUUGAGGGAUAGGGGGUAGGGGGUUGGGAGUUGGCUGGCAAGCUUUGUAUGGAGUUGGUGGAAAGGAGGAUGGUGCAGCUUUCUUGGACUUGCCCUAGUGAUAAUUAUUAUAGUUUAUUUUAUUGUUGGUGGAGCUUUGAAAGAAGUGAAGUCAAAGAUAAGCUUCUUGUUCCUUUAAGAACUCAUCAAUCAAACUUGUCUUUUUAUA